rnacentral:rRNA from 1 species
AACGAACGCUGGCGGCAGGCCUAACACAUGCAAGUCGAACGCACUCAUCGGAGUGAGUGGCAGACGGGUGAGUAACACGUGGGAACGUACCCUUCGGUUCGGAAUAACUCAGGGAAACUUGUGCUAAUACCGAAUACGACCGAGAGGAGAAAGAUUUAUCGCCGAUGGAUCGGCCCGCGUUUGAUUAGCUUGUUGGUGAGGUAAUGGCUCACCAAGGCAACGAUCAAUAGCUGGUCUGAGAGGAUGAUCAGCCACACUGGGACUGAGACACGGCCCAG